CAGCAGCCGCCGCGGUAAUACGGAGGGAGCUAGCGUUGUUCGGAAUUACUGGGCGUAAAGCGCACGUAGGCGGCUUUGUAAGUCAGAGGUGAAAGCCUGGAGCUCAACUCCAGAACUGCCUUUGAGACUGCAUCGCUCGAAUCCGGGAGAGGUGAGUGGAAUUCCGAGUGUAAAGGUGAAAUUCGUAGAUAUUCGGAAGAACACCAAUGGCGAAGGCGGCUCACUGGACCGGUAUUGACGCUGAGGUGCGAAAGCGUGGGGAGCAAACAGGAUUAGAUACCCCUGUAGUCCCUGUCUCUUAUAC
rnacentral:rRNA from 1 species